AAAAACAAAACCCAAACUUAAUUGACAUUUUUCAUUUAAUUGUCUCCUAGAAACAUCCAUAUGUCCUUUCUCUCUUUUCUUACUAUCAACCUCAAGUCUUCACAGCGGAUUGCACUUCAGGAAACUGAUGGCACAAGGCAUAAAUGGAAGGAUUCUAAGAUGAAGAAACUAAAAUUACUAGCUGAAGUUUGGUAAGUAUCAUUUAUAUAUAUAAUAGUUGCACAUAUAAUGGCAUUUAUGUAGAAAGCAUUAUUGUUAGUGUUAACUUUUUUCCUGUUGCUUUAGGUGUUUUCUUUGACUUUUGAUACUUUGGUUGAUUGUGGUGUAGUAUAUUGCAAGUCUCACAUAAGCACACGUACUGUCAUGAGAAGCAUGUUAUUCAUAGGGAUAUAAAGCCGGAAAAUCUGUUACUUGAUCAUGAAGUAACAUCUUGAUAAGUACUAACUGCCUUCCUUUGCCACAUCUGGUAAGUUUUAUUAGCACCAUUUGACAGAAGCAAGAAAAAUGAACACACUAGACACACAAUGUAGUUUUUCGACAAACCAAGGAGUGUCAAUAUGUAAUAUAUAUAUAUAUAUAUAUACACACAAAACAAAUACUUUUACCUAGACACACAAUGUAAUUUUUUGACAAAGGGGUGUCGAUCAACAUACACCUCAGAUAUAUGUGGUUCCGCUACUGAGUGCAAGGUGGCUCCAACACGGACAAUGGAGUAACACUUUGAAAUAUUCGCUCAUAUGUUCCAACUCUGCAGGCAUUUAGAUUUCUCCUAAGAAUGAUAUUACUUGAGUUAUUGCUUCUCCUCUGAGUUGCAUUCCUAUCCUAUCCCCGCCUAUUCAAUAAUGAGAGAGUGAUCAGACCAAUUAGGUGUCUAGCAGUUGGAUAUGUAGGACGAGCAUUGUAAAACUUUGAGGUCGAUUAGACCUAUGCUAAAAAAAUAGUUGAACAGAAAUUCCUUUAUAUACUUUGAUAAGCAAUGUUGCUAGUUUGGAAGGAUUUGAGGAUUUCAGGUGUAGCUAUAUUGAAGUUAUUCAUUUGUCAACAAUGACUUUAUUUGCUAAAACUUCUAAACUUCCAAUUUCUUUUUAUCAUCUGAUUGGUUUUAUUAGAAGCAACAAGUAAGUGUCGGCAUCCCUUUAAUAUUUUUCCUUAAUUUCUUUUGCCUUCCCCUAAAUAUUAGUCUUUAUCAUACUUGGAUCUAUAGUUAUUAACAAUUUCAUGAUUAUAUUCUUGAAUUUUACGGUGGUUGACUUCAUAAAAAAUAAGGUGCAAGCUAGAUAUAUUUCAUGUGAUUCGACGCUUUGACAAAUUGCAAAUCAUCUGAUCAUUGCAUGACAUGAUAGGAUACUUUUUUUUUUU